rnacentral:misc_RNA from 1 species
UCAUCAUCUGUCAGUCCUUGCCCUUGAUGCAGUGGCUUUGGAAUGAUAAGGGGGUCUCUUGCUAUUAGGCAAACUACUGUCACUGACACUGCCUUCAAGGAGGUUGUCAUGAGCUUCAGAAAAUUCCUUCAUCCAUGAAUUCAAGGGGACGAGAUAAUUGUCAUCCUUAGAGCUCCUCUUUCGCUCCUCAUGACGUUUCACAUUUUCAGAAAUCUGAUGGAAGGUCCUAUUUAUUUUUGCAAUUCCCCUUUCAACUGGC